rnacentral:rRNA from 1 species
UGAGGAAUAUUGGGCAAUGCCCGCAAGGGUGACCCAGCAACGCCGCGUGGAGGAUGAAUGUCGUAAGAUUGUAAACUCCUGUUAGAGGGGAAGAAUAGUACCGGUUGGACCGGUAUAUGACUGUACCCUCAGAGAAAGCCCCGGCUAACUACGUGCCAACAGCCGCGGUAAUACGUAGGGGGCAAGCGUUGUCCGGAUUUACUGGGUGUAAAGGGCGCGCAGGCGGGAUAAAAAGUCAGUGGUGAAAUCCUACAGCUUAACUGUAGAACUGCCUUUGAUACUUUUAUUCUUGAGUUCGGGAGAGAGAGACGGAAUUCCAGGUGUAGUGGUGAAAUACGUAGAUAUCUGGAAGAACACCAGUUGCGAAGGCGGUCUCUUGGUCCGACACUGACGCUGAGGCGCGAAAGCGUGGGGAGCAAACA